rnacentral:rRNA from 1 species
GACGAACGCUGGCGGCGUGCUUAACACAUGCCAGUCGAACGCUGAAGACCUGGCUUUUGUUGGGUUGGAUGAGUGGCGAACGGGUGAGUAACACGUGAGUAACCUGCCCUCUUCUUUGGGAUAACGCCCGGAAACGGGUGCUAAUACUGGAUAUUCACUGAUCUUCGCAUGGGGGUUGGUGGAAAGGUUUGUUCUGGUGGGGGAUGGGCUCGCGGCCUAUCAGCUUGUUGGUGGGGUGAUGGCCUACCAAGGCUUUGACGGGUAGCCGGCCUGAGAGGGUGACCGGUCACAUUGGGACUGAGAUACGGCCCAGACUACUACGGGAGGCAGCAGUGGGGAAUAUUGCACAAUGGGCGAAAGCCUGAUGCAGCGACGCCGCGUGAGGGAUGGAGGCCUUCGGGUUGUAAACCUCUUUCGCUCAUGGUCAAGCCGCAACUGUGGGUUGUGGUGAGGGUAGUGGGUAAAGAAGCGCCGGCUAACUACGUG